GGGUGGAGAUUAACGGCUGGCGGAGGGGUUGGAGCAGUGGGCGGAAAAGAAGCAAUGGGGGACACGAAGAGACUUCGCUUGCCAAUGGGAUCUGUCUUCUAGUCCGGUUUGCCACAACCAAGAAAGUUUAAGCUCAACAAAGUGAAGACCAGACAGUUGAAUGGGAAAAUGAAAAGGAGUGUGAACUAUCCUACAGGAGACAAGAAAAAAUGAGGCAGAGGAAGUGCCUUCGAACAACGAGCAAGGAAAGAAAGAAAAAAAUGAGAAUACCAGCUCGACAGUCCAGAAAUGCCUGGUAUUUGUGAGGUUUAAUUCCCAGUACUGGAGAAGUUUAAAUUAAAAUAUGUAUGUAC
ensembl:lincRNA 1700021F13Rik RIKEN cDNA 1700021F13 gene